AUUUAAAUAGUUUAAUAUAAAACUUUGAUUUGUGAAUUCAAAAAUAUUCUUUUGAUUUUUAAAUA
rnacentral:tRNA from 1 species